GUCUUGGAACAUCUAAUAAUGAAACGUUGAGUGGAAACGUCCAAAUGUGCAGUGCUGGGCUACUCCAGGACAACCGGACUGAGAAACACUGCUCUAGAUGAUUCAGUCAGCUCACACACCUCCCACUGAUGGAGAUGUGAGAUACAUGGUUGCCAGACGACUAAGAUAUCCCUCCUGUAGCAAAACGUGCCUUCGGGCAAGACUGGGGGAUUGUGAGAAAAUGAAGCCAGAUGCGUGCACAUACAUGACAGAAGAGCUGAUCACCCCCCGGCAUCUCCCUGUGCUUCAAUCUAUCUCUUUCUUUAUCUCUGAUCACCUCCGAUGUCUCUUUCUCCCUCUCGACGUCUCAGCUGUGGGGCUCAGUGGAUUUGGAAUCAUGGAUUUCUUCAUGCAUCAUUUUGUAAAGUCUGACAUCCUGCUGGUUGUGCACAAUUGCCAUUAAAGUGUCUCUUUCCCACAGUAUCGCUAACUGCCCUCUUUGGCUUUUCUUACAUCAAUCUACCCAUCUUUCAGAUGAGAAUACUUUCUUUUAUACUUCCCUGCUCAGUUCUUCAGCUUUGACCUUAAAAUGAGCUCCCAUCAUGGGCCAUAAAGAUAUGCAUGCUCGGCUGCUUUAUGUAUCAAACACGCAUUUUUUUUUUUUUUUUUUAAGAAAACAGCCUUUUUCUGAUAGUUUCGGCUCUAUUUGGUCUUACUAGUUGAGCUCAAGCCUUUAAACUAACUCUAAUGACUACACAGUCGAGGGCAGCCUGAAUUAGUUUGCCCCUUUGAAAUGGAAUUCCCCAGCAACUCCGUCUGUCUUCAAAGGGUACAUUUAAUGAGGGAAUCUGUUACACAAACUAAAACCGAUUACCCUGCACUGCAUCAAAAAUUUCCCCUAAUAUACGAACAUCCCCUGGUCAUUCAAAUGGUAGUAAAUGCUUCUCCCUUAACAAGCAAUGACAUUCAUUUCUGGCUUGUAGCCAUAUUACUUCAUACAUGGCUAAUAAUAUUAAACAUGUCUGUCAAUCUGUGCUGAUUUCCUCUGGACCAAACUGCAUUCCCACUGGCUGAAAUCUGAAGGAGUUUCUGAUACAGUAAACACAAACCACUGUCUGAAAUGAUUGAGUGAUUUUGUUGGUAAUUGUGUUUGUGUAAGGUAUAAAAUGAACAAUAAGCAUUUGGCUGUAUUCCAUUAGCAACAUGUCCACAGAUAAAGAGGAAUUUCACACUCUGAUUUCUGGCCUUCUUACGGCCUCUACACACCAUUUCAAACGGCAAUUAAAUGAUAGCAGUGACUCAAAAUUAAACACAGCAUCCAAUUUAUUAAGCUAUGUGAUUGUUCAUUAUGAAAGAGAAUCACAGAAAUUUAAACAAAUCACCAGUUCAUGAGCAGAAUAAUGUUUCAGCUAAAGGAAUAAUGUCUUGUAGGAGUAAAAGUCAAAUCAAUGUGUAUUUAAGUAAUGUCACAAGCAAGAGGAUUUUUGUAUUGACCUUGACUGUGUUUUUGAUCGAUCAUAAAUGUAUCAAAAAUAUUGAUACAGCUGAGAUAUUAUUAAAAUAUUAUAUAUUAUUUAUAUAUUACAAAU
ensembl:lncRNA